GAAAUGCGAUAAGUAGUGUGAAUUGCGGAAUUCAGUGAAUCAUCGAAUCUUUGAACGCACAUUGCGCCCUUUGGUAUUCCUUAGGGCAUGCCUGUUCGAGCGUCAUCUAAACCUUCAAGCCCUGCUUGGUGUUGGGUGCCUGUCCCGCCUCCGCGCGCGGACUCACCUCAAAUCCAUUGGCGGCCCCCGCGUCGGCCACGAGCGCAGCAGAAACGCGAACUCGUGAGCCCGUCCGGGCGGCUCCCAGAAGCUACACCCACCCAGUUUGACCUCGGAUCAGGUAGGGAUACCCGCUGAACUUAAGC
rnacentral:misc_RNA from 1 species